rnacentral:sRNA from 1 species
GGAUUCCAGGGCUGCUCAGGAGACGCCUCCAUCCUGGCGUGGAUGACCUCAGGAUCAGCCCCGUCUGCCCCACUCAGCCCGCAGCCUGGUCCCCGAAAGCGCUCAGUCAGAAUCCGAGAGCAGUGUGGCGGCGCCCCCGUGUGGCCACAGGACUGAAGACAGAGGACCCCGCUCCCCUUUCUCCCCAGCCAGGACGUCCCAGGCUCUCCCCCUGUUCCCCGCACCUGGACGGGACUCUGCACAGAAGAGAGUCUCCCGGUCUCGUGUCAGGCUCUGAGUUCAUCCAGCUUCCCAAAAUCCAUGUUGAUAUGAACGUUUUCUCCCACAACUGAUUGACUGGACUUUUGUCUCAGGGCAGAGGGAGGCCUCCAGACCAAAACAGCAGGAUCAGGUCUGGAGCUGACUCAACCCCAAACCCUUGCUAAUGCACGACCCAGUCCCCCAGCCUCCAGGAUGGGACCUUGGCCUCCUGUCCCCUCCCUUGUUCCUGCCACUGCUCCUGCAGGUGGAGGCUGCUCAUCCCAGGAAUCAGUCUGUGAGCUCCAACCUUGGGGCCUCGGUCCAGGAAGGAGGGAGGCUCCAGAGAGCAGAAGGGAGAUGAAAUGGAUCAUAAGAGAAGAAGGAAUCAUACCAAACACUGGAACUGACCUUUGUGAUGCUCAGGAAUGUCCUGAUGUCAGCGGAGAUGAAGGAAAACCAGAGAUUCAAAAGUCAAAGGAAAGGGCCAUUUACCAUAAUUCAUAUCAUACAUAUUUCCUGGAAAAAAAAGAAAAAUUCCUUGGGGAAAAAGCAUCAAAAUCAUCAGGAAGUCUUCCACACAGAAAUGACUUCAUUAAUUUGAUCUCUGUCAUUCUUUCUUUUCAUUCAUGUAUUAUUAUCCAUAGAGAUUUCUAUCCUGUGGGUUUUUUAUUUAAUUUUUGUUUGUUUGGUUUUUUCAGACACAGUGAGACCCUGUCUCAAACAAACAAACGUCACAGGCUGCAGUGCAGUGGCACAAUCAUUGCUCACUGCAGCCUCGACCUCCCUGUCUGAAGCAAUCCUCCAGCCUCAGCCUCAUGAGUAGCUGAAACUACAGGAACAUGCCACCAUGCCCAACUAAUUUUUUAAAAAAUUUUUUUGUAGAGAUGAGGUAUCACUAUGUUGCCGAGGCUGGUCUCAAACUCCUGGGUUCAAACAAUUCACCCACCUUGGCUCCCCAAAAUGCUGGGAUUACAGGCCUGAGCCACGUACCCAGCCUCUAUCCCAUGUUUUGAUUCAUCAUCAUCUCCUAAGCCCUUUCCCAGCAUCGAUAGUCUACUAAACAUGCCAUGAUUAAAUUAUAUCUCUAUACCUUGAUAUAAACAAAAAAUUAUAUGAGCAGUAAAGACAAAUAUGAAAAAGUAAAAUUACUGCCAAAGUUAUUAGGAGGAUAACCUAAAUUAUUUGGGUAGGAAAAUCUUUCUAUUUUAUUUUUUUUUCCAGCCAGGGUCUCAUUCUGUCACUCAGGCUAAAUUACAGUGGCCCGAUCAUGGCUCACUGCAGCCUUGACCUCCCAAGAUUCAGGUGAUCCUCUUGCCUCAGCCCCCUGAGUAGCUGAGACAACAGGCAUGUGAGACAAUGCCUGGCUCCUUUUUAUAUUUUUAGUAUAGAUGGGGUUUUGCCAUGUUUCCCAGGCUGGUCUCAAACUUCUAGGCUCAAACGAUCCACCCACCUCAGCCUCCCAAAGUGCUGGGAUUACAGGCAUGAGGCACUGUGCCAGCCUCUUUUUUUUUUCUUCACAUCUGCUGGAAUGGAAAAUAUUUCUUAAAUGAGACACAAAUGUAUCAAAUUGAAAAUGUUUAAACUUCAAAGGACUUACAUACAUAUACAGUCAUUCUUCGCUCAAUGGUGAGAUAGCUUCUGAGAAAUGAGUCCUUAGGUGAUUUUGUCAUGUGUGGACAUCAUAGAGUGUCCUUACAUGAACCUAGAUGGUAUAACCUACUUCACACCUAGGCUACGUGAUAAGCCCAUUGCUUCUAGGCUACAAAUUAUAUAGCAUGUUACCGUAUGGAACAUUGCAGCCAAUUCUAACACAAUGGUAAGUAUUUGUGGAUCUAAGCAUGUGUAAACAGAGAAAAGGUACAGUAAAAAUGUGAUUAAUAAAAAGAUCUUUAAAAUGG